AGUGAACGCUGGCGGUAGGCCUAACACAUGCAAGUCGAACGGCAGCACAGUAAGAGCUUGCUCUUACGGGUGGCGAGUGGCGGACGGGUGAGGAAUACAUCGGAAUCUACUUUUUCGUGGGGGAUAACGUAGGGAAACUUACGCUAAUACCGCAUACGACCUACGGGUGAAAGCAGGGGAUCUUCGGACCUUGCGCGAUUGAAUGAGCCGAUGUCGGAUUAGCGAGUUGGCGGGGUAAAGGCCCACCAAGGCGACUAUCCGUAGCUGGUCUGAGAGGAUGAUCAGCCACACUGGAACUGAGACACGGUCCAGACUCCUACGGGAGGCAGCAGUGGGGAAUAUUGGACAAUGGGCGCAAGCCUGAUCCAGCCAUACCGCGUGGGUGAAGAAGGCCUUCGGGUUGUAAAGCCCUUUUGUUGGGAAAGAAAAGCAGCAGGUUAAUACCCCGCUGUUCUGACGGUACCCAAAGAAUAAGCACCGGCUAACUUCGUG
rnacentral:rRNA from 1 species